GUAUGCAAGAGAGGGGAAGAGUGCAAAGAGCUUUACCUCCCCCUGUCUUGUGUCCCUGCCCACAGACUAAUCAAAGCUGCAGGCUCAGUGUUUUCCUGAGUGGAGAGAAUGAAUGUUCUCUACCACUGCCCCUCAAGACAGGAGGCACCAUUUGUACAGAAGGCAGGAAGGAGUAGAAAGAGUUUCAGUGGCUUGGGGUUACUUUGCUCUUCCCCUUCUUCUGCUCCUGUGACAAAGGGAGGGCUCUUGUGUCUCUCCCCUUCUCUUCAUCCCAGCACUAGGGCCAUCCUUAGGCAUACAAAGUAUACUCAGCUGUAUAGGGCACCCGAAAAUUUGGGGCACCACUGGGACAGCAGGAUGGAUGCAGCAUGACAGGACAGCCGGAUCCCUCAGAUGGGGAGAGGACCUCAAGGCAGGAACAGAUGAGCAUCCUCUCAGCAGGAACUUGACACCCAAUGGAAAGACUAUAUCGAGGAAGCUGUGACAGAACAAUCAAGGGCCUCUGAUGUUGAAAUGGCUCUACCUGAACAAAACAAUGGGCUUGUUACCAGCUGAUUCAUUGAUUUUGAACAACUCUGUUCCCAGAAGCCGACAUGCAGGCAGGGAGGAUGGUGGAGUCUGGAAAUUCCCCAGAGAAAGUUCAUGGGUAGAAAAGGUGGCAGAGGAAUGCUCUCUAAUCACGGAAAAAGAAGGAAGCCAGGCCAAGAAGGUUAGAAGAGUUGCCUGGCCUAAAGGAGUCUGACCACAUCGUGGUCUCAUAGGGUUGGUGAGGGGACAGAGGGGUGAAUUCAUUGUUUUCUGUAGAUCUGUAACUGUCUUGUCCUUUUGAGAAGUAAAGUGUAUGUGUUUAAGAAAUU